rnacentral:rRNA from 1 species
GCUCAGGACGAACGCUGGCGGCGUGCCUAAUACAUGCAAGUGGAACGCAAUGAAUUCUACUGUAGCUUGCUACACUUGAAUUGAUUGAGUCGCGAACGGGUGAGUAACGCGUAGGUAACCUACCUAUUAGCGGGGGAUAAUUAUUGGAAACGAUAGUUAAUACCGCAUAAGAGUAGCUAACACAUGUUAACUACUUAAAAGGAGCAAGAGCUCCACUAAGAGAUGGACGUGCGUUGUAUUAGCUAGUUGGUAAGGUAACGGCUUACCAAGGCAACGAUACAUAGCCGACCUGAGAGGGUGAUCGGCCACACUGGGACUGAGACACGGCCCAGACUCCUACGGGAGGCAGCAGUAGGGAAUCUUCGGCAAUGGGGGGAACCCUGACCGAGCAACGCCGCGUGAGUGAAGAAGGUUUUCGGAUCGUAAAGCUCUGUUAUAAGCGAAGAACGGGAGUAAGAGUGGAAAG